ensembl:lncRNA
AGAGGAGACUGUGCGGUGCAGGAUGGCGUGGCUGUGGAGGCAGAGAACGAUGGGCCACGCUAGGAGUCUUGAAAGAGGAGCCAAAAGGACUUGCUGAGAGCUGUGCAGCUGGUGAAUGACAGUGCCAUGGCUGAGGUGGUCGAAAGGGAGUAUUUUAGGGGAAAUCAGUCAUUCCGUUUUGACCAAAUUAAGCUGGAGAUACCUGUGGAACAUUCCAGCCAGGCUGCAUCACUGCACACUGACCUUCAGCGUUGCCCACAGUCCAUCUUCCCCCAGGGCCUGAGGAUUCUGACUUCUGGCUCCCUCCUCGCCCAGGACCCCUAAGCUCCCAGCAUGCUUCUUUUUUUUUGUUUUGUUUUGUUUUGGGGGUUUUUUUUUUUUUGGUCUUUGUUUUGUUUGUUUGAGAGGGAGUCUCGCUCUGUCCCCUAGACUGGAGUGCAAUGGCUCCAUCUCGGCUCACUGCAACCUCCGCCUCCCAGGUGCAAGCAAUUCUCUUGCCUCAGCCUCCCGAGUAGCUGGGAUUACAGAUGUGUACCACCGUACCCAGCUAAUUUUUGUAUUUUUAGUGGAGAUGGGGUUUCACCAUGUUGGCCAAGCUGGUCUCGAACUCCGGACCUCAGGUGGUUCACCUGCCUCAGCCUCCCAAAGUGCUAGGAUUACAGGUGUGAGCCACUGCGCCCGGCCUCAGCCCACUUCUUUCAGGUGGCUAUGGUUUGGAUAUCAUUUGUCCUCACUAAAAUUCAUGUUGAGAUUCAAGCCCCAGUGUGGCAGGUGUUGGGAUGUGGGGCCUGAUAGGAGCUACAUGGAGGUGGAUUCCUCAUGGAUAGAUUAAUGCCUGCCUUCAGGGGUGAGUGAGUUCUCACCCUUGGGAAUUUGGGAAUUUGGUUUUCUCUCCCUUGCUUCCUUCAGCACCACGUGAUCUCUGUGCACACAGCGACAUCCUUCUGCCCUCCCCCUAGAGCAGAAGCAGCCUCAGGGGUGAGGGAGGUCCUCAGUGAGUGCACCUGCCCAGUCUUGAACCUUCCAGCCAUCAGAAUCUGAGCCAAAUCAACCUCUUCCUUCAUAAAGACCCAGAUUCAGUUCUUCUGUCAGAGCAACACAAAAUGGACUCAGCACAGGUCAAAUUGUGUCUCCCCACCCCCACAAAAAACUUUAUAUUAAAAUCCUAAUCCCCAGAAUCUCAGAAUGUGAUCUUAUUAGGAAAUAAGGUCAUUGCAGAUAUAAUUAGUUCAGGUGAAGUCAUUCAUGUGGACCCUAAUCCAGUAGGAUGCGUGUCUUUAUAAAAGUUUGGACAGAGACAGACACACAGAAAGGACACCGUGUGGAGGUGAAGGCAGAGAUUGGGGUGAUGCCUCUACAAGCCGAGGAAAACCAGAGCUGCCAGCACACCCUCAGAAGCCAGGUAGAGGCCGGGGACUCAUCCUCCCUCGCAGCCUCAGGAGCGGCCAGCCCUGCCGACACCCUCAUCUCAGACUUCUGACCUCCAGCACUGGGAGACCAUUAGUUUCUGUGAUUUAAGCCACUCAUUUUGAGCACCCACCCUGUGGAAGGUGUCUCAGGAUCACCUCAGGCACCGCCAAAGACUUGCAUGCGACCCUAAUGCUGCCGUCACCUUAACUCCCAGGCCGGAGUCUACACUACAGCCUCCCUAAUAGAGGGAAAGGACUGGAUUCCCACCCCUUGCUCCUUCCCUCUUCCUGCAUCCAAACUACAUCCCGCAAAUACACCAGUGAACCUGGUACCAAGGUGAUGGCAGAUAGGUUGAGACCAAGAGAUCAGAGCUGCAAAGACAAACCCGGUCAGAGGGAAAAAGAGUGAGAAACAGAAUCCAGGAGAAACCGAGAACAAGAAAUAGAGACAGCCUGGCGCGGUGGCUCACCCCUGUUAUCCCAACACUUUGGGAGGCCGAGGCAGGUAGAUCAUUGAGGUCAUGAGUUCGAGAUCAGCUUGGCCAACAUGGUGUAACCCUGUCUCUACUAAAAAUACAAAAAUUACCCAGGCCUGGUGGCAGGCACCUGUAAUUCCAGCUACUUGGGAGGCUGAGGCAGGAGAAUCAGAGCCACAUUUCUGCAAGGUGCCCCGCAGUGGUGGCCAGACACUAUCCCAGGGCCAGGGGCUAGUGGGGCAGGCGCUCAGAAAUGACGUGCUCAUGCCUACACUGGAGGAUUGCAGUGAGCCAAGAUCGCGCCACUGCACUGCAACCUGGGCGACAGACUGAGAUGGUCUCAUAAAAAAAGGAAAUAGAGACAAAAGCACAAGGCAGAAGGCCAUAAGAGACAGGAGGAGGUGACAGGGAGACACAGACAAGGAGAAAAAAUGUGGAGGCAGGGAGGAACUCGAGACAAAGACAUCGAAAUAGAAUUAGACAGGGAGGAGGAGGCCGAGAGCAAGAGACUUAGAUGGGGAGACAGGAAAACUCCAGAUCAGAUGGAGACCAAAACUGGGGCAGGGUGAGACGGGGAGCCAGAAGGACGGAAAUGAGAGAGAGCGCGCCACACGGAGAGGUGCGGUUAGGUAAAAGCAAGGGAUGACAAUGUCAGCAAGGUGGGCGUCACAUGGAGAAACGGGUAAACUGAGGCAGCACCACGGUGGACAAGGAGGUAGACCCGGACCUUCAAGGAACAGGCAGUGCCGACCUGAGGCGGGCGGGAUGUCAUCAUAAUCCAGUGUGGGCAUGAGCAGGUCAUUUCUGAGUCCCUGUUCCACUAGCCCCUGGCCCUGGGAUAGUGUCUGGCCACCACUGCGGGCCACCUUGCAGAAACGUGGCUCUGACCACAGCCUGCACCUUCCCCACCCAACCCCAGUGGAUUCCUUUUUUUUUUUGAGAUGGAGUCUCACUCUCACCCAGACUGGAGUGCAGUGGCAUGAUCUCAGUUCACUGCAACCUCUGUCUCCUGGGUUCAAGCGAUUCUCUUGCUUCAUCCUUAUGGAUUCUUGAGCCUGCAGUGCUGCUGCUGUAGCAGCCGAGGUCGGGUGAUGCGCACACUAGGCGCAGAGUAGGAUCUGGAGAAGCAGAGAAGCCAGGGCCUCGCCACUGCGCAGGAGUUUCCGCCUCUCUGAGCAUCGAUGUUCCAUCCGCCAUGCGGGCCCGGCCAGGGUCACACUCCCUCCCUACAUCCUCCCCGCCUCACCUCGUGAAACACGCACAGGCCCCGUGUUCCUC